rnacentral:rRNA from 1 species
AGAAGAAGCACCGGCUAACUCCGUGCCAGCAGCCGCGGUAAUACGGGAGGGUGCGAGCGUUAAUCGGAAUUACUGGGCGUAAAGCGCAUGCAGGUGGUUUGUUAAGUCAGAUGUGAAAGCCCGGGGCUCAACCUCGGAAUUGCAUUUGAAACUGGCAAACUAGAGUACUGUAGAGGGGGUAGAAUUUCAGGUGUAGCGGUGAAAAUGCGUAGAGAUCUGAAGGAAUACCGGUGGCGAAGGCGGCCCCCUCGGACAGAUACUGACACUCAGAUGCGAAAGCGUGGGGAGCAAACAGGAUUAGAUACCCCGGUAG